rfam:Solanum lycopersicum cultivar Heinz 1706 chromosome 1, whole genome shotgun sequence.
AUCCCAAAUAAGCUGAGUUAAUUCAAAGUGCUUAUUUGAUUCAUGGGAGGCCUAAAUCAAUUGGAGGUUUCGCUGAUAAUGCCUUUUCUAUUUUUCAAGGAGGCGUUUACUAGUAACUAUCCAUACAUAU